rnacentral:misc_RNA from 1 species
AAAAAAUAGAACUGCAAAUGAGGAGUCCCUUUUCUGUUUCCAUAGGUGGUUUGCCACCUUGGUGUGAACAAUUGGUUAAUACAUGCCCCUUUUUGUUUGGUUUCGAAGCAAGAUGCAAGUAUUUCCGCCUUGCUGCAUUUGGUCGACAGCCAAUUCAGCCUGAAUCAUCGUCUCAUAAUACAGCUACAGGUGUGAGUGGUAGGCACCAAAACAGUAGUGUUUUACGCCGGAAAAAAUUCUUAGUUCAUCGAAGUAGAAUUUUGGAUUCUGCUAGGCAGAUGAUGGACCUCCAUGCCAAUCAGAAGGUUGUCAUUGAGGUGGAAUAUAAUGAUGAGGUUGGUACUGGUCUUGGUCCGACGCUAGAAUUUUUCACCUUUGUCAGUCAUGAGUUCCAGAAGAUUGGGCUAGGGAUGUGGAGAGGUGAUUACUUGGCUCAUGCCAGCAUGAGUGUAGAGGAGGAAUCUGGAAUUAUUUUCUCUCCUUUUGGUCUGUUCCCCCGCCCAUGGUCACCUUCACCCCAUUCAUUAAAUGGCCUAGAGUUCUCUGAAGUGCUGAAAAAG